rnacentral:rRNA from 1 species
GCAAGUCGAACGAUGAAGCCUUUCGGGGUGGAUUAGUGGCGAACGGGUGAGUAACACGUGGGCAAUCUGCCCUUCACUCUGGGACAAGCCCUGGAAACGGGGUCUAAUACCGGAUAAUACUUCUGCCUGCAUGGGCGGGGGUUGAAAGCUCCGGCGGUGAAGGAUGAGCCCGCGGCCUAUCAGCUUGUUGGUGGGGUGAUGGCCUACCAAGGCGACGACGGGUAGCCGGCCUGAGAGGGCGACCGGCCACACUGGGACUGAGACACGGCCCAGACUCCUACGGGAGGCAGCAGUGGGGAAUAUUGCACAAUGGGCGAAAGCCUGAUGCAGCGACGCCGCGUGAGGGAUGACGGCCUUCGGGUUGUAAACCUCUUUCAGCAGGGAAGAAGCGAAAGUGACGGUACCUGCAGAAGAAGCGCCGGCUAACUACGUGCCAGCAGCCGCGGUAAUACGUAGGGCGCAAGCGUUGUCCGGAAUUAUUGGGCGUAAAGAGCUCGUAGGCGGCUUGUCGCGUCGGAUGUGAAAGCCCGGGGCUUAACCCCGGGUCUGCAUUCGAUACGGGCAGGCUAGAGUGUGGUAGGGGAGAUCGGAAUUCCUGGUGUAGCGGUGAAAUGCGCAGAUAUCAGGAGGAACACCGGUGGCGAAGGCGGAUCUCUGGGCCAUUACUGACGCUGAGGAGCGAAAGCGUGGGGAGCGAACAGGAUUAGAUACCCUGGUAGUCCACGCCGUAAACGUUGGGAACUAGGUGUUGGCGACAUUCCACGUCGUCGGUGCCGCAGCUAACGCAUUAAGUUCCCCGCCUGGGG